rnacentral:lncRNA from 1 species
GCUGGGAUUUGAGCCCGCAAUACCACGGCACAUCUAAUUUAAUGGUUUAGCUUCUAACUUGUACUACUUCGUGUAAGGAAGCAUAAUAAUUGAUUAUGGCGGGCUUUGGCGACAUUUUAUAACAACCUGUACCGUAGAUCUUUCUGUGGUGCGUUCAUUGCUCUGUAUCUUUUGCGAUGAUACCUAAUUAUGAGAUGUCGAUCAUCGUAGCUUCGUCGAAAAGUAAGUACUUUUAUUUUACAAACUACAAAGUCGUAUUGGGCUAUUCCAUUUAAUAUCCGUACCCCCUACCUCCUGUCGAGGAUCCCUGGAAUUCUUCAGGGGUAAAGGGUUUUGAGCUUGGAAUUCUUCAGGGGUAAAGUGUUUUGAGCUUGGAAUUCUUCAGGGCUAAAGUGUUUUGAGUUUGGAAUUCUUCAGGGGUAAAUGGUUUUGAGCUUGGAAUUCUUCAGGGGUAAAGGGUUUUGAGCUUGGAAUUCUUCAGGGGUAAAGAGGUUUGAGAUUGAAAUUUUUCAGAGCUUGGAAUUCUUCAGGGGUGAAGGGUUUUGAGCUUGGAAUUCUUCAGGGGUAAAAGCUUUUGAGCUUGAAAUUCUUCAGGGGUAAAGGGUUUUGAGCUUGGAAUUCUUUAGGGGUGAAGGGUUUUGAGCUUGGAAUUCUUCAGGGGUAAAAGGUUUUGAGCUUGGAAUUCUUCAGGGGUAAAGAGUUUUGAGCUUGGAAUUUUGGAAUUCUUCAGGGGUAAACAGUUUUGAGCUUGGAAUUCUUCAGGGGUAUGACAAUGAAAAACAUGUAUCCUCGACAGGGGGGUACGGAUAUUAAAUGGAAUAGCCCAUUUUGAACAUACUAUAGAUGACUUUCUUUAUUUAUAGUCUAUAUAUAUAUAUAUAUAUAUAUAUAUA